rnacentral:ncRNA from 3 species
CUCUUAUCAAGAGUUGGCUGAGGGAUUUGGCCCUGUGAAGCCCAGCAACCGACCGUCAUUCCAUCCUAAGAUGGAUCACACCCGUAAAACAUGUUUUACAAAGGCACGGUGCUAAUUCCAACAGAAAGUAAUUCUUUCUGGCAGAUAAGAG